UACGUAGGGUGCAAGCGUUGUCCGGAAUUAUUGGGCGUAAAGAGCUCGUAGGCGGUCUGUCGCGUCUGCUGUGAAAACUCAGGGCUUAACCCUGAGCUUGCAGUGGGUACGGGCAGACUAGAGUGCGGUAGGGGAGACUGGAAUUCCUGGUGUAGCGGUGGAAUGCGUAGAGAUCCGGAAGAACACCGGAGGCGAAGGCGGCUUGCUGGACCUGGUCUGACGCUGAGGCGCGAAAGCGUGGGGAGCGAACAGG
rnacentral:rRNA from 1 species